rnacentral:rRNA from 1 species
UACGAAGGGGGCUAGCGUUGCUCGGAAUCACUGGGCGUAAAGGGCGCGUAGGCGGGCAUGCAAGUCCGGGGUGAAAGCUUUCGGCUUAACCGGAAAAGGGCCUUGGAUACUGCAUGUCUAGAGGGAGGUAGGGGUCUGUGGAACUUCGGGUGGAGCGGUGAAAUGCGUUGAUAUCCGAAGGAACGCCGGUGGCGAAAGCGACGGACUGGACCUCUUCUGACGCUGAGGCGCGAAAGCCAGGGGAGCAAACGGG